UACGAAGGGUGCAAACGUUGCUCGGAAUUACUGGGCGUAAAGGGCUCGUAGGCGGCCAACUAAGUCAGACGUGAAAUCCCUCGGCUUAACCGGGGAACUGCGUCUGAUACUGGAUGGCUAGAGUUUGGGAGAGGGAUGCGGAAUUCCAGGUGUAGCGGUGAAAUGCGUAGAUAUCUGGAGGAACACCGGUGGCGAAGGCGGCAUCCUGGACCAACACUGACGCUGAGGAGCGAAAGCCAGGGGAGCAAACGGG
rnacentral:rRNA from 1 species